AGUGACGAUAGCCUAGGAGAUACACCUGUUCCCAUGCCGAACACAGAAGUUAAGCCCUAGUACGCCUGAUGUAGUUGGGGGUUGCCCCCUGUUAGAUACGGUAGUCGCUUAGC
rnacentral:rRNA from 1 species